rnacentral:lncRNA from 1 species
UAUACAUGCCAUAUGCCCAAAAUCAACCUAGUAAAAUACCAAAAGAAACAGUUGAUAGUGUGAUAGGCUUUGCUGACGAUCCCCGAGCUCGUAACGUGACUCCAAAAUAUAUAAAAUAGAGGUAAACAAGAGCACGCACACAAUAAGCUAUUUAAGCUUAGUAAGCAUUAAGCAAAAACAUAUAUAACAACAAUUACAUAUUAACAUUUUGUUUACAAGGCCGAAUUUGCAUAAUAUCAAAUACAAGUUAUCAUUUACUAAUAGAUCACAUUUUAACCUCACAUACAUAUACCAUAUGGCCAAAUAUAGUCAAUCAUAUACAUAUAUAUUUUCACAUUUAUUAUUACAAACAUAUCAAUAGGCCAAAUCACUUAUAUGCUCAACUAUGCUAACACGAAAUCCAUAUUCACAUAACUUUAUAUCAUUUCAAGUAAUCAACUUACCUUGUUUCCUUAUAAACAUUUAACUAGCACAUACCUGAACCUGUAAGUUGAUUUCACAUUCGGUCUUUACUUCAUAUUGCUCGUUGAACCGUUCAAAAUUAAAAAGGAUACGUCAAUAGUCGGAAAGCUGAUACAAUGCCAACGUCCCAGACGUGGUCUUACAUGUAAUUACAUAUCGAUGCCACUGUCCCAGAUAGGGUCUUACACGUAAAUCACAAAUCGAUGCGAACGUCCCAGACAUGGUCUUACACGAUAACACACAAUGGAAUCCUAUGUCAUGACAUAUGUAUCCUAACUAUUCCUAAGGUUCGUACGGGACUUUCAGACAUCGUAUCUCGAUCGAAUCGAACUCGAAAACAUUGCUCCCAAGCAUAAUUCACAUAUAAUCAAACAUUCGACCAACACUUAUAUAAUCAAGAAUUCAAUUCAACCUAUAUAUAAUUCACAUAUAAUCAAAGUUAACAACAUUUAAAAUGCUUAUAAACUUACCUCGGAUGUCGACAAACGGAAACAAACGACUAUCCGAUUAUUUUUGCUUUUCCCUGAUCCAAAUCUGUUUUCUUUGGUUCUUGAUCUAAACAUAUUCAAAUUAAACUUAUUUAAGCAUAAUUUUAUUCAAUUUAGUCUAAAAAACAAAAAUGGGAAAAUUACUAUUUCCCCCUAACAUUUUACACUUUUUGCAAUUUAGUCCUUAUUGCAUAAAACACAAAACACACAAAAUUUCACAUUACCCAUGCUCGGCCGAAUAUUCACAUGCUUCAUAAAAGUCUAUAUAUUUAAUUUAUUUCAUAUUUUAGUCAUUCAAAAUAUUAUUUUCACAAUUUAAUCCAAUUUACUCAAAUUCAUCAAAAAUUCAAAAAUCAAACUAUGUUAAUUUAACACAUAUAUUUCAUAUUUCACUUUCAAACAUCACAAAACUCAUGAAUUCAUCAAUGGCAUAUUUCAAAAUCAUCAUCAAUUCACAAAAUUGAAGCAUGGGUUUUUGAAGAACACAAAGCUACAAUCCCAAAAUGUAAAAAUUAUCAAAAAUCGAAACCGAAACAUACCUUAAUUUGC